CCUUCAUGGUGACGGGGCCGCGAUACGCCAAGUGGAACUGCGGGUCUGCGUUCUCAGCGGACUGCAGACAUCUUCACCGCAAAAAUAAUAUCACACUUAGCGUCUCCUUUGGUGGUAAAAGUGACUUCAAAUAGCAUUCAAAUGUCAUGUUUUCACUGGAAAGAGACGGCUGCUUUUAUUUUGAAGGUUUUCCCACAAUGCCUUGGGAAACCAAGUGCAAACAGGUGUGGUGGGAAAAUGCUGAUUUGUUUUGAUACUGUGCAACUUAACUUUUUAAGCUCCAAACCGGAACAAGGAUAAGGGCCCGGAGUGUAUGCUGCAGGCGGUCGGUUAGGAUCUCCAGCUCCUGAGUCAGCUUGUACUCCUCACGAAACUGCUCGCCCAGCAGCACCAGGUCCCGCGUGGCAUCGUGGAGCGGAAUGUCACUCAGGACGAAGACAGUGUUGAUGUGGGAAAGAAUGCCGUGGUAGCCGAAGUCAAUGUGCGGGCGGACCAGGGAAAACACCGAAGGGAGGAUGCAGGCGCCGGGCUGGAGCUGAAAAGAGAGGAGAAUGAAAUAACAAUGAACAUCCUCCAAAACUACUGAUUCCGUCAUGUUUCCCAGGUAUUGUACUCAGGGUGAAAGACUGUCCACCUGUUGAUGGACGGUGAUUGUGAAUGGAACAUUGCGUAGGAAAUGACCUCACACCAUCACACAGGUCAGCUGUGUGAAUCACUACACAAACAAAGACCAUAAAAAGAACUACUGUAGAAGACUUGGCAUUUUUUCAGUUAACUUACAGGAAGUAAGAUUGGAUUUAUAUGUCCUUGGACAACACACACCAAGUUGCUCAGGACAUGUGACUAAGAAACACAAAAGAUUUGGCAGCUUUACAAUGUGCAACUGCGUCAGCAAUGCCAUCGCCAGAAUAUUUAUUUAUAUUGAAGCGGAAUGCUUUUUCUAAACAUGACAAAUGCCAUCUAACAAAAGCCCACUUGGAUUGAUGUUCUUCAGACAUAUUUCAUAUGUUUAUUGUUUUGGAGUUUAAUACCUUUGGUCUCUAUUCAUAUUACUGUGUUGAUGUAAAUAUAAGAAUUUUUUAAGGUCUGGCAUAAGGGGUCAAGAGAAUCAUACAAGUGGUGCUCCAAAACUUCUCCCCCAGUUCGAGCUUUUCUUCCUGCCGCCCUAUCCC